rnacentral:rRNA from 1 species
AUACGUAGGGUGCGAGCGUUGUCCGGAAUUACUGGGCGUAAAGAGCUCGUAGGUGGUUUGUCGCGUCGUCUGUGAAAUUCCGGGGCUUAACUCCGGGCGUGCAGGCGAUACGGGCAUAACUUGAGUACUGUAGGGGAGACUGGAAUUCCUGGUGUAGCGGUGAAAUGCGCAGAUAUCAGGAGGAACACCGGUGGCGAAGGCGGUUCUCUGGGCAGUAACUGACGCUGAGGAGCGAAAGCAUGGGUAGCGAACAGGAUUAGAUACCCUGGUAGUCCAUGCCGUAAACGGGGGGCGCUAGGUGUAGGGGUCUUCCACGACUUCUGUGCCGUAGCUAACGCAUUAAGCGCCCCGCCUGGGGAGUACGGCCGCAAGGCUAAAACUCAAAUGAAUUGACGGGG